rnacentral:piRNA from 1 species
UAACAGGGACUUCUCUGGAGAAUUGUAGGC